GAUGAACGCUGGCGGCGUGCCUAAUACAUGCAAGUCGAGCGAACGGACGAGAAGCUUGCUUUUCUGAUGUUAGCGGCGGACGGGUGGGUAACACGUGGAUAACCUACCUAUAAGACUGGGAUAACUUCGGGAAACCGGAGCUAAUACCGGAUAAUAUUUUGAACCGCAUGGUUCAUAAGUGAAAGACGGUCUUGCUGUCACUUAUAGAUGGAUCCGCGCUGCAUUAGCUAGUUGGUAAGGUAACGGCUUACCAAGGCAACGAUGCAUAGCCGACCUGAGAGGGUGAUCGGCCACACUGGAACUGAGACACGGUCCAGACUCCUACGGGAGGCAGCAGUAGGGAAUCUUCCGCAAUGGGCGAAAGCCUGACGGAGCAACGCCGCGUGAGUGAUGAGGGUCUUCGGAUCGUAAAACUCUGUUAUUAGGGAAGAACAUAUGUGUAAGUAACUGUGCACAUCUUGACGGUACCUAAUCAGAAAGCCACGGCUAACUACGUG
rnacentral:rRNA from 1 species